GCCGGAUUAGCUCAGCUUGGCUAGAGCAGGAGUUUUGUAAACUUCAGGUCCUCGGUUCGAAUCCGAGAUUCGGCUCCA
rnacentral:tRNA from 1 species